rnacentral:lncRNA from 1 species
AAGGCAAUGCGCACUCAGGCACCAGAGGGCAGAGGGGCUCAAGUUCCAGGGUUUUAAGGUGCUUGGAACUCCCAGGAGCCUGGCAAACCUUCAUCCAGAACCUCUUCCUCAAGCAAGACAAAAAGCUGCUAAGCACUGCUCCCUCCGUCUCUGUGAAGAGACCAGCUUCUAACAGACGGUGCCGGGCUGACCCCCCAUCAUGCCAGGCUGGCUCACCCUCCCCACACUCUGCCGCUUCCUUCUUUGGGCCUUCACCAUCUUCCACAAAGCCCAAGGAGACCCAGCUACAAGGUGCGCUGGAGCAAGGUGGAGCCUGGGGAGCUCCGGGAAACGCUGAUCCUCAUCACCAACGGACUGCACGCCCGGGGGUAUGGGCCCCUGGGAGGGCGCGCCAGGAUGCGGAGGGGGCAUCGACUAGACGCCUCCCUGGUCAUCGCGGGCGUGCGCCUGGAGGACGAGGGCCGGUACCGCUGCGAGCUCAUCAACGGCAUCGAGGACGAGAGCGUGGCGCUGACCUUGAGCUUGGAGGCCGGGGCCGGUACCAGUUCAAUUACUACGAGGCGAAGCAGGCGUGCGAGGAGCAGGACGGACGCCUGGCCACCUACUCCCAGCUCUACCAGGCUUGGACCGAGGGUCUGGACUGGUGUAACGCGGGCUGGCUGCUCGAGGGCUCCGUGCGCUACCCUGUGCUCACCGCACGCGCCCCGUGCGGCGGCCGAGGCCGGCCCGGGAUCCGCAGCUACGGACCCCGCGACCGGAUGCGCGACCGCUACGACGCCUUCUGCUUCACCUCCGCGCUGGCGGGCCAAGUGUUCUUCGUGCCCGGGCGGCUGACGCUGUCUGAAGCCCACGCGGCGUGCCGGCGACGCGGCGCCGUGGUGGCCAAGGUUGGGCACCUCUACGCCGCCUGGAAGUUUUCGGGGCUAGACCAGUGCGACGGCGGCUGGCUGGCUGACGGCAGUGUGCGCUUCCCAAUCACCACGCCGAGGCCGCGCUGCGGGGGGCUCCCGGAUCCCGGAGUGCGCAGUUUCGGCUUCCCCAGGCCCCAACAGGCAGCCUAUGGGACCUACUGCUACGCCGAGAAUUAGGCGCCCACCGUGUCCCCUCCAGCGCGCGCGAAGAAGCUUGGGAGUCGUGGCGGGGGUCUCUCGCCACCCCUUUCCGGAGAGCCUCCCCUCCCUCCAGACCCGGAGCGGCCUCUCCAGACCUGCCUUCCCAGCCGGGGGCUGCGGGCCUCGGACCCCGGCUGGCCCGGCGGCGGGGAGGGGAGGCGGGGGCGCCUCCGGCGGCGAGAUGCAGAGGUGACCCUCGGACCCGCUGCCGUUCGCGAACCCUAGCAGAGGACUCAGCCACCGCCGGGGGGAGGGUGAGGCGGCCGGGGGCAUUAACUGACCUCUGAGUACAGCAAUAAAAUAACCUGGGGAUCU